rnacentral:rRNA from 1 species
CCAAGCUUGCAUGCCUGCAGGUCGACGAUUAGAGUUUGAUCCUGGCUCAGAAUGAACGCUGGCGGCAGGCCUAACACAUGCAAGUCGAACGAAGGCCCGGAGCUUGCUCCGGAUACCUUAGUGGCGGACGGGUGAGUAACACGUGGGAAUUU